AUGUCCGCGUCCAUGUGCCGGAAGCGGGCGUCCUCCUUCUCCGAGGAACGCUCCCACGCGGAGGCGUCGUCCUCGCCGCUCUCCAAGCGCGCACGCUUCCUCGCGGACGGCGGCAGCCCCAAGCCGCGGGGCGUCGUCGACUCCGACCUGGUGGCCGUGAUCCGCGCGCGGUUCCCUUCCGUGAGGCUUGAGUUCAUUGAAAAGGCUCUGGAAGAAUGUGAAAACAAUUUGGAUUCAGCGAUGAAGUAUUUACUUCCUCUACACUUAGAACCCACAGAAUAUAAUGUGGAUCCCGUGUAUCAAUCUCCCAAUGAAAUGUCUACUGAGGUUCAAGUGCCCAAUGAAGGUAUUGUAGAAUGUAAUGAAGUUCCAGCACCCAUAGGAAGUGUUCCCGGUGCAGAGAACCUUCAAUCAGGUAUCACCCAAUGGGUUGAGAUUCUUAUGAAUGAGAUGGCAAGUGCCUCUAAUUCAGAUGAUGCAAAGGUUCGUGCGUCAAGAGUACUGGAGGCUUAUGACAAGUCCACGUCCUCUUGUAUCCAUACAGAAGCAAUGCAGAAAUAUCAGAAGGAAAUUUUGUUGUACAAGGAACAAUUUGAAGCCGUCAUUAAAGAAAAUACUAUUCUUAAGAAAGCCGUGGCAAUUCAACAUGAACGCCAAAAGGAGCAUGAAGAGAGAAACCAGGAGCUUCAACAACUAAAUCAGUUGGUUAUGCAGUACCGGGAACAAAUUAGGAAUCUUGAGAUAAACAACUACGCCUUGUCCAUGCACCUCAGACAAUCUCAGCAGGGUAACUCGAUUCCAGGGCACUUUCAUCGGGACAUUUUGUGA
rnacentral:rRNA from 1 species